CAGGCAUUGUGCUGACUGUGGAAGAUCACAGAGAGUGUGUCAGAGUGAAAUUGACUUUGGAACUGUCUUUGUCCCUUUUGUACAGACCACACAACUGGUGCCAAUGGCGUCGCUGCCUGACUUUAAACUGUCCUGCCACUAGGAACCCUCACUGUCCAGCUCCAUAGUGCAACCAGAAGGAGGUGAGGUUUUGGCAUCUUCAGGGAGUAUCCUCAGUCUUCCUAUGUUUUGGAAUGAGUUCCAUUUCGCUGCAAAAAGAGGAGCUUCUGGGAUGAUAAAAUGAGGCAUAUCCUGCACCACUACAUGUGUCCAUACAUGAUCUGAGCAGGAAGAGCAGUGGACAAGGAGUCUGGAAUGCUGGCUCAAGUUCUGAGUCAGCCACAGCCUGCUGUGUGACUCUGAGUGAGUCACUAAGCUUCCCUGGAUUCAGUUUCCUCAACAGUCAAAUUUCUAUGGCCUUUUGGGCACCACCAUGCAUGAGAACACAAAGAGAGCAUGAUUACUCAGGGGUGUGUGCAUGUGUGAGGUAGGU
rnacentral:lncRNA from 10 species